rnacentral:rRNA from 1 species
CUGAUCCAGCAAUGCCGCGUGAGUGAAGAAGGCCUUCGGGUUGUAAAGCUCUUUUGUCAGGGAAGAAACAGCAGCUCUAACACAGUCUGCGAAUGACGGUACCUGAAGAAUAAGCACCGGCUAACUACGUGCCAGCAGCCGCGGUAAUACGUAGGGUGCAAGCGUUAAUCGGAAUUACUGGGCGUAAAGCGUGCGCAGGCGGUUAUGUAAGACAGGCGUGAAAUCCCCGGGCUUAACCUGGGAAUUGCGCUUGUGACUGCAUAGCUAGAGUAUGUCAGAGGGGGGUAGAAUUCCACGUGUAGCAGUGAAAUGCGUAGAGAUGUGGAGGAAUACCAAUGGCGAAGGCAGCCCCCUGGGAUAAUACUGACGCGCAUGCACGAAAGCGUGGGGAGCAAACAGGAUUAGAUACCCUGGUAGUCCACGCCCUAAACGAUGCUGACUAGUUGUUCGGGAAUUUAUUCCUGAGUAACGUAGCUAACGCGUGAAGUCAGCCGCCUGGGGAGUACGGUCGCAAGAUUAAAACUCAAAGGAAUUGACGGGGACCCGCACAAGCGGUGGAUGAUGUGGAUUAAUUCGAUGCAACGCGAAAAACCUUACCUACCCUUGACAUGCCACUAACGAAGUAGAGAUACAUUAGGUGCCCGUAAGGGAAAGUGGACACAGGUGCUGCAUGGCUGUCGUCAGCUCGUGUCGUGAGAUGUUGGGUUAAGUCCCGCAACGAGCGCAACCCUUGUCUUUAGUUGCUACGCAAGAGCACUCUAAAGAGACUGCCGGUGACAAACCGGAGGAAGGUGGGGAUGACGUCAAGUCCUCAUGGCCCUUAUGGGUAGGGCUUCACACGUCAUACAAUGGUGCAUACAGAGGGUUGCCAACCCGCGAGGGGGAGCUAAUCUCAGAAAAUGCAUCGUAGUCCGGAUCGUAGUCUGCAACUCGACUACGUGAAGCUGGAAUCGCUAGUAAUCGCGGAUCAGAAUGUCGCGGUGAAUACGUUCCCGGGUCUUGUACACACCGCCCGUCACACCAUGGGAGUGGGUUUUGCCAGAAGCCGUUAGCCUAACCGCAAGGAGGGCGACGACCACGGCAGGGUUCAUGACUGGGGUGAAGUCGUAACAAGGU